UACGUAGGUGGCGAGCGUUGUCCGGAUUUACUGGGCGUAAAGAGCUCGUAGGCGGUGUGUCACGUCGGCCGUGAAAACCUGCAGCUUAACUGUGGGCGUGCGGUCGAUACGGGCAUCACUGGAGUUCGGCAGGGGAGACUGGAAUUCCUGGUGUAGCGGUGAAAUGCGCAGAUAUCAGGAGGAACACCGGUGGCGAAGGCGGGUCUCUGGGCCGAUACUGACGCUGAGGAGCGAAAGCGUGGGGAGCAAACAGG
rnacentral:rRNA from 1 species